GGGAGGAACUUCAAUUUCGCAAUAUUGGUCAUGGGCUAGAGUUGGGAUUGAUAACACAUACUAUUGUGGAUCCAUUCACGAAGCCAAUCCAAUUUCCUCCAUUUCCAAAGUAUCUUAUGCCAUUUCAUGAGGUUUACCAACAACCGCAUAAGACAUUCGUAGAUGUUAUUGGCAUAGUUCUUCAUUUGGAACCAUUAAAGCAUAUCGGUGGAAGACCGUAUAGAGAAGCUGUACUAAUGGAUUCUAGGUGGGAUCUAAUCAUCGUGGGGGUAUGGACUGACCUCUUGCAAAGAAAUGCUCUACGAUGGUCGUUAGCUAGAGUUGACAAGAACAUAAUUAUUGGAACUUUGCUGCGUUGUAACCAUAAUCACAGUAA